GAUGAACGCUAGCGGCAGGCCUAAUACAUGCAAGCUGAACGGUAAAUGUUGUAGCAAUACAAUAUGAGAGUAGCGUAAGGGUGCGUAACACGUAUGCAAUCUACCCGCAACAGGAGGAUAGCUCCCCGAAAGGGGAAUUAAUACUCCAUAAUAUCACGAGAGGGCAUCUGAUUGUGAUUAAACUCCAAGGGGUUGCGGAUGAGCAUGCGUCUGAUUAGUUAGUUGGUGAGGUAACGGCUCACCAAGACGAUGAUCAGUAGGGGAACUGAGAGGUUGAUCCCCCACACUGGCACUGAGAUACGGGCCAGACUCCUACGGGAGGCAGCAGUAGGGAAUAUUGGUCAAUGGGUGAGAGCCUGAACCAGCCAUGCCGCGUGCAGGAAGACGGCCUUCUGGGUUGUAAACUGCUUUUAUCUGGGGAUAAAAUAUCCUUGCGAGGAGAAUUGAAGGUACCAGAGGAAUAAGCCACGGCUAACUACGUGCCAGCCGCCGCCGUAAAAC
rnacentral:rRNA from 1 species